UUCAGAGGUCUCCGAGCGUUGUUCGGAUUUACUGGGCGUAAAGGGAGCGCAGGCGGCCGGGUGUGUCGAAUGUGAAAGCCCACAACUCAACUGUGGAAUGGCAUUCGAAACUACCUGGCUAGAGUACUGGAGAGGAGAGCGGAAUUCUUGGUGUAGCGGUGAAAUGCGUAGAUAUCAAGAGGAACACCGGUGGCGAAGGCGGCUCUCUGGACAGAUACUGACGCUGAGGCUCUAAAGUUAGGGGAGUAAACAGGAUUAGAUA
rnacentral:rRNA from 1 species